AGAAAGUUUUAUUUUAGCUUAAUAAUUGACUUGUUGAUUUAAAUAUAUGUAAAUUCUAGUAAGUCUAAAUUUUAAAAAAAUUUAUUUGUUUGCAGUAUUUUUAAUUAAAUUUAAACUGGUUUUUGAUUUAGAAAUUUGACUUAGGUUAAACAAAAUUUGUGCCAGCAGUAGCGGUUAUACAAAUUAUUCGAGUUAAUUUUAUUAGGUUUAAUUUAAAGUAAUUUUUUAUUUUAAGUUUAUUUUUUUAAGGUGAAAUUUAAAAUUUAACUUAUAUUAAUAAUUAGUUUUUGAAGUUAAAAAAUUUAAUUUUUAAACUAGGAUUAGAUACCCUAUUAUUUUAUACGUAAUUUAUUUACCUGAAUUAUUUUUAGCUAUGGUCUUUAAAAUUAAAAAAUUUGGCGGUAUUUUAGUCUUUUCAGAGGAACUUGUUUUUUAAUCGAUAGUCCACGAUAAUUUAUACUUUUAUUUUAAAUUUACAUAUCGUCGUUUUUAAAAAUUUUUAGAGGAAAAAAAUUUUUGUGUUUUUUUAUUAAUAAAAAUUUCAGAUCAAGGUGUAGUUUAUAAAAAAGUUAAAAUGAGUUACUUUAUAUUUAUAUUUGGUUUUGUUUUUUAAAAAAUCAAUUAAAUUGGAUUUGAUAGUAAAAACUUUAUUUUUGGGUUUUGAUUAAGCUCUAAAAUAUGCACAUAUCGCCCGUCGCUUUCAUUUUAAAAUGGAAUAAGUCGUAACAAAGUAGGCUUAUUGGAAAAUGAGCCUGGAAUGAC
rnacentral:ncRNA from 1 species